AGUCACUGACAUUAGAUACCCGCGUAGUCCAGGGUGUAAACGCUGCAGACUUGGUGUUGGGAACCCUUCGGGGGUGCUCAGUGCCGGAGAGAAGUUGUUAAGUCUGCUACUUGGGAGUACGUCCGCAAGGAUGAAACUUAAAGGAAUUGGCGGGGGAGCACCGCGACGGGAGGAGCGUGCGGUUUAAUUGGAUUCAACGCCGAAAACUCACCAGCAGCGACUGUUACAUGAAAGUCAGGUUGAUGACCUUACUAGAUUUUCAG
rnacentral:rRNA from 1 species